rnacentral:lncRNA from 1 species
AACUAACCAAUCCCUUGAAAAAUUAACUUACAAUUUCAUAUGUACCAUAUCAAGCGACAAUUUAAAGGAAUAAUUAACAGUAGUUGCUGCCGUUGCAAGGGAGUUCUCAUUUUUAUUCCAUCUUGAUCAUAGCACCCUUAUAUUAACAAUAAUUAUGAAUAACAUAUUUCUAUUACCGAAUACGAACUUAAUUCAGUAGAAACGAUGAUCUUUUCUAACUAGAGGCUACCACCGUCAACUCAAAUCCAUUUCAAGACUAACAUUACUUUAUUCAUACCAAAAUACUCAUCAAAACAUGUUUUAAUUACAGCUAGAAAGAAGUUAAUUCAAUCCUUCCUAAAACAAUUAUAUAAACAGUAAUGUAUAAAGCUCAUUCGAUGCUAAUACAAUUUAUUCACCCAAAUCCUAUAAUCUAAAUCAAAGAAUUCAUGAAAUAAGACUAAACGAAUUGAAAUAUUAUUUACCUAACUAUAAAACAAGUUGCAAAUAGAAUUUUCCGGUUAAAAAUGGCCAGCGGAAGCUCUAACGCUCGAAAUCUAGUUCUGCCAGCGCUAGUAUAGCCAGAAUGUAUGAGAACAGUGGUCGAAAUACGCCGGUGAGGAGUUGACGACGAAAGAGAAGCCGAUUUCGCCGGCUGAUGACAGGUCUUGCCGGAAAAUCGAGAAAAAGAGUGCUAAUGGCGCUACUCCCCGAUCGGAAAACAAUGCAACUCUUCGCAUUAGCUGCGCUGAUUGGAAACAAAGGGAGAGAGAGGCCGGGGCAUAGUCGUCAACGAGAGAGAGAUUGGAGUCGCCGGAAAGUCGAGAGCAAGAGAUGCUAUUUCCCGAUUGAGCGAAAUCGCAGGUCGCCUGCACUGGCUGCGCAGGCCUGAGAUAACAGAGGAGAGGGAGAGAGAGGGAGCGGCGGCGGCGGUAGGAGGCGGGGGCAGAGUCAGCAUUGGUCUCAGGCUGUCGAAAAACGAAAAGGGGAGGGGGAGGGGGAUGGACUGUGGCACGAUCGGAAGAGAAAGGAGAACGGGGAUGGGGAUUUUUUUUUGGUAUUUUUAGGUUUCUAGAAUUUUCUUAUUGGUUGAUGGGGUUUGGGUCGAUUUUGGUCUGGUUUGGCUCAAAUCAUGGUUUUACCUUGGUUUUUCAAUUGAUUUGUAGGUUUUUCAAAGGGUUUAGUUUAAUU